CAUAUACAAACCAUCUAUGAGAGCCCUGGGAAACAGUCUGGAUAGAUCUGAGCCCUCCUGGCAUUUGGCUCCAAAGACAUCCCCUGGUCCUCUCUCAUAACCAGCAUGGAUGAGUCAGAAGGAUUGCUGUAAAUCGCACGUCUAUGAGGGAAAGCGUCCAUGCUGAGCACUGUAGAAACAGCGGUGAACACAAGAGAUAUCCUCUCUGAUGAGAAGAGAAGGUUCGAGGCAUAAGGAUCAGCAUAAGCAAGAUGUAAAAGUGGAGAUUCGCCUGGGACAUCUAGGAACUGACAAGCCAAUGGGACUAAAGCAGGAUCGUGUGGAGAUAGUCUCCAGGGAAUCACAGAGGAACAAAAGUGACAGCAAGCUGCAACGUGCAAGCAUUUUUCAAGAUUCUACUUGUGUCACAUUUGCUAAUAUCCUGUUGCCAUCCAAAAUUAUUUGGCCAAGCCCAGCAUCAAAAGAGAAGACCCUGCAAAGUUGCAGAGCACAGGGAAAGGAAAUGAAUGGAGGCUGUCAAUAAAAUCAGUCUGCACAGGAGGAAUCAAGCGAACAGCCAGAGAAGGCUGGAUGAGAAAUGAGGGUAGGGAGAAAGAACUCUUCCUCUCCUAUCUCCACCAGAGCACACAUCAACCAACACAAUAGUGGCCAUUUCCGGAGCAUCCGUAGUGCUCCAAGCAUGGCACCAGACACCCAGCAACAUUAUCUCAUUUCAGCUACACAAUACCCUACAAGUAAAUAUUCC
rnacentral:lncRNA from 1 species